UGGCCUAACUUUUCGGAAAUUUGGGUUUCUAGGCCAUCAACUUUAUAAAGUU
ensembl:ncRNA F36D1.20 ncRNA